GGGCCAGACUCCUACGGGAGGCAGCAGUGGGGAAUAUUGCACAAUGGGGGAAACCCUGAUGCAGCGACGCCGCGUGAGUGAAGAAGUAUUUCGGUAUGUAAAUCUCUAUCAGCAGGAACGAGACAAGACGGUACCUGACUAAGAAGCCCCGGCUAACUACGUGCCAGCAGCCGUGUUAAUACGUAGGGGGCAAGCGUUAUCCGGAAUUACUGGGUGUAAAGGGAGCGUAGACGGCAAUGCAAGUCCGGAGUGGAAUGCGGCAGCUCAACUGCCGAACUGCUCUGGAAACUGUAUGGCUUGAGUGCAGGAGGGGUAAGCGGAAUUCCUGGUGUAGCGGUGAAAUGCGUAGAUAUUAGGAGGAACACCAGUGGCGAAGGCGGCCUGCUGGACGAUGACUGACGUUGAGGCUCGAAAGCGUGGGGAGCAAACAGGAUUAGAUACCCCCGUA
rnacentral:rRNA from 1 species